rnacentral:rRNA from 1 species
CCUACGGGAGGCAGCAGUAGGGAAUCUUGCGCAAUGGGCGAAAGCCUGACGCAGCCAUGCCGCGUGAAUGAUGAAGGUCUUAGGAUUGUAAAAUUCUUUCACCGGGGACGAUAAUGACGGUACCCGGAGAAGAAGCCCCGGCUAACUUCGUGCCAGCAGCCGCGGUAAUACGAAGGGGGCUAGCGUUGCUCGGAAUUACUGGGCGUAAAGGGAGCGUAGGCGGAUAGUUUAGUCAGAGGUGAAAGCCCAGGGCUCAACCUUGGAACUGCCUUUGAUACUGGCUAUCUUGAGUACGGGAGAGGUGAGUGGAACUCCGAGUGUAGAGGUGAAAUUCGUAGAUAUUCGGAAGAACACCAGUGGCGAAGGCGACUCACUGGCCCGUUACUGACGCUGAGGCUCGAAAGCGUGGGGAGCAAACAGGAUUAGAUACCCUGGUAGUCCACGCUGUAAACGAUGAGUGCUAGUUGUCGGCAUGCAUGCAUGUCGGUGACGCAGCUAACGCAUUAAGCACUCCGCCUGGGGAGUACGGUCGCAAGNUUAAAACUCAAAGNGUAAGUGCGNGNGAGAGNGACGACGACGACGAGGAGGAG